rnacentral:rRNA from 1 species
GUUUACGGUCAUACCACGUUGAAAGCACCAGUUCUCGUCCGAUCACUGAAGUUAAGCAACGUCGGGCUCGGUUAGUACUUGCAUGGGUGAUCGCCUGGGAGCAAAGAGUGCUGUAGACG